CCCCGGAGGUGGUGGUGGUGGUGGUGGUACCCCCUGGAGUGGAGUUGAACCACGAGCGUGAGGAGAUCUCCUGGCGUUUGCUGCGCUGCUUGUCGUCGUACGCUGUUGGGUCACAGGGUUCGAGUCAUUUGAGUGCUUUUCUGGCGUCUGGAAGCUGAGCAACGCCGCCAGCCUCAUGUCCUCGGCGCGCUCGGGCAGCAGCGGGAUGCUCAGGUUGGUCCUCGUCCGCACCGCAUCGUCCUUCUCCUCCUUCUCCACCAUCACCUUCUUCUCCGUCUGCAGCGGAAAAUACAGCGGUACACCAAAUUACGGCUUUUUCCAGUUAUGAGCCAUCACUCGGUUAAUUCUUUUGCUGACACAGACUAAUGACAUUUCAAUAACAUUGGUACCCCAACGUACGACUUUUUCAAGAUGGGAGCCGUUGCUCAGCUGUUUUUUUGCCUUGACAAUGACUUUUGUGAGCUUCACACCACCGCUCCAGUUAAGUGGGGGGAAAAAAAAAAAAACCUUAGUUCACCAACAAAUCAGUUUACAAUUUUGUCUGGGAAAUAAUUGCUUGGGUUCAUGAACUGUUUCCUGAAAUACAUGCGGCAUGCUCACUUGUGCUUUCUCUAACAAUAAACAUCAUUUGCUGCA